rnacentral:lncRNA from 1 species
UUAAGAUUGAGACAACAGUUUGGUAGAGGCUACGGUUCUACCAGGUCUCGGACGUAGGUUGUAGGGGUGGAAGUGCGGGCUGCGAGGUUGGGAACGCCGGCGCCGGCGGUUGGGUGCCGUCGCGGCGUGAGAGAGAGAGAGAGACGGCUAGGGUUUGGGGCUCCCGUCUCCUGAGGGAGACGACAACAGAAUACUGUUUAUUGUCUGCUUAAUAUCGAAGGGGUACAUGUGUUUAUAUAGGAGGACAACCUCCACUAAACCCUAGAUAACUUGGACUCUAAUAUAACUUGGACUUCUAAUAUAACUUGGACUCUAAUAUACCUAAGAUAACUAGGGCUAAGACCGUAACUAACCCUGCCCAUUGGGCCUCCUCCGUUGGUACGUUGUACCGGUCAUAACAUCUCUCCCCGCCUUCUCAAACAGCUCGUCCUCGAGCUGAACAUCUGGAAACUGCUGGCGAAAAUCGUCGAGCUUCUCCCAAGUCGCUUCCUCCUCUCGCAAGCCGGUCCACUGUACCAAGACAUGCCAGACGCCGCGACGCUGCUGUGCCUGCAGCACCUUCGCCACCUAUGCGGAAGCUGGAAGGAGGCGGCCAUCCGAAGUAGGAGGAAGGGCCCACGUCGCUGCAGGAGGGUCCCCGCGGUAGGCCUUCAGUAAGCCGACAUGGAAGACGUCGUGGAGGCGAGAACCAGCUGGCAGCUCCAAGCGGUAUGCGAGUGUGCCGACACGCUCCAGCACACGAAAGGGACCGGCGUAGCGAGGUCCCAAUUUGCGCUUGGAGUGCGGGUCUAGAGACUGCGUGGUCCUGUGGAGGAGGUGCAACCACACCCAAUCGCCCACCGUGAACUCCACCUCGCGAUGAUGAGCAUUGUAGUACUUCCGAGCCAGCUGCUGUGCUUGGAGAAGACGCUGGCGCGCCUCAGCCAGAAUGUCGUCGCCGGUGCGGAGUAAGUCGCCCGCCGUCUUGGACCGAGCCGUCCCAGGCUCGUAAGGGAGCAUCGCCGGAGGUGGGCGCCCGUAGACCACCUCGAAAGGCGUGGUGCGCAGGGCGGAGUGAUAGGAGGUGUUGUAGGAGUACUCCGCCCACGCCAACCAGUCCACCCAAGCUCGUGGACGAUCACCGGUAACACAGCGAAGGUACAUGACGAUCACCUUGUUCACCACCUCGGAUUGGCCGUCUGUCUGAGCGUGGAAAGCCGUGCUCAUGCGGAGCUUCACGCCCGCCAGUCGAAAGAGAUCCUGCCAGACAUGUCCCGUGAACACGGGAUCACGAUCGCUGACGAUGGAUGAAGGAAAACCGUGGAGGCGGACGAUGCCGUCGAAGAAGGCCCGCGCCACGGAGGCGGCUGUAUAUGGAUGACCCAGGGCAAUGAAGUGCGCGUACUUGGAGAAGCGGUCAACCACCGUGAGGAUGACAGACUUGCCGCCCACCUUGGGAAGACCCUUGACGAAGUCCAUGGAAAUAUCCGCCCAUACCUGGGAGGGUACGUCCAGCGGCUGCAGUAGACCCGCGGGUCGUAGUGUCUCCGUCUUGUUCCGCUGGCACGUCACGCACGACCGCACCCAGUCGCGGACCAUCGCGCCAUCACCGGGGAUGUAAAAAUCAGCACGGAGACGAUGGAGAGUCUUCUGCACGCCCUCGUGCCCUGCAGAGUGCGCCAAGGUCAGGACCUGGUGGCGCAGGUCGCCAUGGUCGGGCACGAAGAUGCGGCGGCCAUGUAGGAGCAGCCCCUCGUCCAAGCGCCAGGGCGCGUCCAGCUCGCCGGCGUCAAGGCGCUGGCGCAGGCCCUGCGCGUCCGCGGCCGUCGAAGUUGCCCGGCGAAUGUCGUCGAUGAAGGCAAAAGAUGGCCCGGAGCGGAUGCACAUGAUAGUGCCAGCCAUGGCGAAGUCGUCCGCGACAUCCUCAGUGUCGCGGCGGGACAAGGCGUCGGCGACCGUGUUGAGACGGCCGGGGCGGUACUCGAUGGUGAAGUCGAAGCCGAAGAGCUUGCUGAUCCACUGGUGUUGCGGAACGGUGGAGAGGCGCUGGUCCAACAAGAACUUGAGGCUGUAGUGGUCCGUGCACACACGGAAUGACCGGCCCCAAAAAUAAGGCCGCCAGUGGCGCACCGCCUGAACCAGCCUAAUAAGCUCGCGCUCGUAGGCCGCGAGCUUGUGAUGGCGAGUGGCGAAGGGGCGGCUGAAGAAAGCGAGCGGUCCCUCGCCCUGGUGGAGGACGGCGCCGAAGCCGAUGCCAGAGGCGUCGCAGUCCACCACGAACGGCCUAUCAAAGUCCGGCAUCUGGAGGACGGGUCCCGUCGUUAGCGCCUGCUCGAGAGCCUCGAAUGCCGUAGUUGCCUCCUUGUCCCAGGAGAAGGCGUCGCGUCGAAGGAGACGCGUCAAUGGCGCGACGAUGAGGCCGAAGUCCCGGAUGUACUUCCGGUAGUAGCCGGCGAGGCCCAAGAAGCCGCGGAGCGCCCGCGGUGACCGCGGGGUCGGCCACGCGGCGACGGCGGCCAUCGCUACCCCGUCCGCCGAGAUGACGUGCCCCAGGUACGCGACGGAGGUCGUGCCGAACGAGCACUUCGAGCGCUUGAGGUGAAGACGAUGCGCUCGAAGCUCGUUGAAGAUGAUGGCCACGUAUUGUAGGUGCUCUGCCCAAGAUGCACUGUAGAUAAGAAUGUCAUCAAAGAAAACAAGCACAAAGCGGCGCAAGUAUGGGCUGAACACGUCGUUCAUCAGGGUCUGGAAGGUUGCCGGCGCGUUGGAGAGGCCAAACGGCAUCACCAGGAACUCGAAGUGGUCAUGGUGAGUGCGGAAUGCCGUCUUCUCGAUGUCGUCAGGUGCAUGCGCACCUGAUGGUAGCCCGAGCGAAGGUCGAGCUUGGUGAAGAAGCGCGCUCCGUGUAGCUCGUGCAAGAGCUCAUCCACGACGGGGAUGGGGAACUUGUCCUUGGACGUCAGGGCGUUGAGGGCGCGGUAGUCGAUGCAGAAGCGCCAUGUGCCGUCGGGCUUGCGCACAAGGAGCACCGGGGCGGAGUACGGCGAUGUCGAAAUCCGGAUGAUGCCCAGCGCGAGCAUGACCGCCACCUGACGCUCGAGCUCGUCUUUCUGCAGCUGAGGGUACCGGUACGGGCGCACGGCGACAGGUGCCGUGUCCGGCAGCAAGUGGAUGCGGUGGUCACAGGGCCGCGCGGGAGGGAGGCCCUGUGGCUCGUCAAAGAUGUCGCUGUGCUGCUGCAGGAGGUCGGCCAGGAGGGGAUGCGCCUCGUCUAGUGCGGCCGCCAUCAACUGGAGCUGCGGAAUCGCGGCGCCAGAGCCGCCGAUGCCUGUCCACUGAACGCGACGGCCCCCUCGCACCAAAAGAUGAGGGACAACACAUCGAGGUCCCAAAGGAUGGGACCGAGAGUGAACAGGAAGUCGAUGUCGAGGAUGAAAUCGUAGCAGCCCAGGUCGAUGCCGACGCAGUCGAUGGAGAACGGCUCGUCGCCGAUGAGGACGGGAACCUGCCGCGCCACCCCCUGGCAAGCAAGGUGGUCCCCGUUGGUGACGGUGACGCUGAACUUCUCCGAGCCUGCCGGUUGGAGUGCGAGGCGGCGCAUGGCAUCCCCGGGCAGGAAGUUGUGCGUCGACCCCGUGUCUAUGAGCGCGGUGAGACGCUCCCCGUUGAUCGUCACCGGAAGCAGCAUCGUCUUUGCCGUCUUGAUGCCAGCCAUGGCAUGAAGGGAGGCGACGAAGGCGGUCGCAUCGACCGGCCCGUAGGUCGUGACGCCGGCCUCGGAGAGUGUGGUGGCGUCGAGCUCCGCGGUGAGGGCCUCCACCUUCGCGUCGUCGACGGUCUCCAAGUAGAACAGGCGGGCGCACGUAUGACCCGGCGUAUACGUCUCGUCGCAGUUGAAGCACAUGCCCUUGCGGCGCCGCUCGAGCUGCUCGGCCGACGUCAAACGCCAGAAGGUGCGUGUCGGCGCGGGGGCAGUCGCAGUAGUGGCCGGCAGGGCGGGGCGGGUCGGGGGACGCUUGCCGCGGCCCGGGAACGCCUGCUGCAGGGCGUUGGCGCGCUGCUCGUACGCGCGUGCGCAAUACAUGGCCGUCUACAGGUCCUGGGGGUCGCGCAUCUCGACGUCGAUGCGGAUGUGGUCGGGAAGGCCGCCGACGAAGAGCUCGACGCGUUGGCGAGCUGUGACGUCAGGCGCAUGGCAGGCCAACGUCUGGAAGCGGUCGGCGAAGUCCUGCACCGAGGUGGUGAAGGGAAGGCGACCGAGCUCGGCCAGGCGGCUCCCACGUAUGGGGGGGGGCCGAACCGGAGGAGACACAGGUCGCGAAAGCGCUCCCAUGGAGGCAUCCCGCCCUCGUCCUGCUCGAGGGCGUAGUACCACGUCUGGGCGGCGCCACGGAGGUGGUAGGAGGCGAUCCACGUGCGGUCGGACGCCAUGGUCCGCUGCCCCCUGAAAAACUGGCCGCACUGAUUGAGCCAGUUCAGGGGGUCGACGAUGCCGUCGUAGGUGGCGAACUCCAGCUUGGUGAAGCGGGGUGGCUGCUGCACGUGUGGCGAGGCCGCGUAGGCGCCCUCGUGACGACCCAACGCGGCAGAAGGAGAGUGCUGCGGCACCACGGAGCGCCCGACGUACGGGUCAGUGGACCCGCCGAACCCCCCGAAGGUGGGGGCGGGUGGCUGCAACACCGUCGGCUGUAGCGGCGCCGUCGUGUAGGUCGGCGUGUCGAUCCACGUCGGUAGCGGGGACGGCGACGAUGGCCACCGGACCUGGGUGAUCGGCAGGCCCUGCGGCGUGACGGUGGCCGGGGGCGGUGGUGGCGGGGUUGCGUAUAGACCCUGGAGGAAAGUCUGGAGGUUCGAGACCGCCAGGGUGAGGUCGCGGAUCGCCGGUGACAUCUUCGCCGGGGAGAGGACGGAGGCGGCUUCGGCCGCCAGGGCCGCGGUACCGGAGGCGGCCGAACCUGAGGUGGCCAGCGACGGGUGCGGCGGCGGCGGCUGUUGCGAGGUGGCGGGGAAGGCGGUGGUGGUGGGAAGGUCCGAUAAAUUCAUCGAACCCAAGCUACCUGAUACCAAAUUGGUAGAGGCUAGGGUUCUACCAGGUCUCGGACGUAGGUUGUAGGGGUGGAAGUGCGGGCUGCGAGGUUGGGGACGCCGGCGCCGGCGGUUGGGUGCCGUCGCGGCGUGAGAGAGAGAGAGAGACGGCUAGGGUUUGGGGCUCCCGUCUCCUGAGGGAGACGACAACAGAAUACUGUUUAUUGUCUGCUUAAUAUCGAAGGGGUACAUGUGUUUAUAUAGGAGGACAACCUCCACUAAGCCCUAGAUAACUUGGACUCUAAUAUAACUUGGACUUCUAAUAUAACUUGGACUCUAAUAUACCUAUGAUAACCAGGGCUAAGCCCGUAACUAACCCUGCCCAUUGGGCUUCCUCCGUUGGUACGUUGUACC